UGGUUAGAAAAACGGAUUGUGAUGGAGAAGAAUGGAGUGGAGGGAGAAAGAGGCUGGGGUGCAAGAAGGAAGCAGCAGAAUGGACAUGAAGAAUUGCAAAGGUAAGCGACACAAGAGGAAAUGAUGAAUGAACAACAAGCUACCAACUGACAAUUCUUCACUUAAAGGAAGCUUGGAAUGUCCCAAGAAGUAUUGAGGCACAUACAUACAUGAGGAUCACACACCCCUUGUUUCCCAGAGUUCCCUCGGCAAGGGUCAGAGGCAACUGGUUGGCCGCUGUGGGAAAGGCUUCGAUAGGCCUUUGGUAUGAUCCAGCAGGACUCUUCUUAUGUUCUAAUGUGUGAAUCACCAAAUAUCAUUUUUCAUGAAUCCCUGACGUUACCUUUCAUCCCUGGUGUCACCUUCAAAGGAUUAAGUUCAGUACUGUGAGUCCAAACUGCAUCUCUUCCCACUAAGUCUGAGCUCUCCAAUGAACGCCCACACAAGGCACCCACUUGACAUGCUGCCUAUGUCUGGGAAGCGAAGUCUUCUAUUUGAUUAAACAAUGGUGGAAUUGUCUUCUCCGUUGUGCUAAUUCUGGUUUCGCAUGCAACGUGAAGAAUCCAGCACAAUGAACACACCAGAAUUGCGUUGCUUUUUCUUGCUUUGUCUCUUUUUCCCACCUUCUUUUUAACUUAAAUGAAGCAGGAACAGAGCUUAACCAUCUCCAUAGAGCAGCAGCUGGCAACUUGGAGCCGGCGGCUAAAUUCAGCCCCCCAAAAGCUGCGAGUUCACCCACCAAGUUAGGAAAAUCCUAAUCCUCCACCUACUCCAGACCUUCAUCUUCCCCAUCAACAUUUUGGGAUUGAAACCUGGAGCUUCUGUUUGGCUCAGUGCCACCUCUUUCAGCCAUAGUGAUGACUCAGCCCUGUUGCCAGGGUGGGGCAAAUGGGUUCACCACCUCCCCGAGCUAUGAUUCACCCCCUGCCCCAGGAUUUUUUGGGAAAACUGUCUUUUGAAUUUGUGACGUGUCAUAUGAUGACAGCCUCCAUUUACAGAAUGACAGCUUGUUUUAAAAGCAGCACAGGAGCCUCUGAAAAAUUAGUGAAUAAGGCAGGGCAAGUGCACUUUCCCUGACUGAGGGUGAAUUUUUUGUGAUACACCCUAUAGUUACUUAAAUGAUCCUGAAAAAAACAGCCUGUAUUAGAACUUUGUAUUAUGGACUAGAGUUAGACUCCACCCCUUGGACUUUCCUUUGCUCUGCUUUUCAGUUUCAGUUGUGUUCUCUUCCCAGCCAGCAAUAAAAGAGCAUGUUUGUAUGCCUGCUGUAAGAAGUAAGAGUUUGUUUAUU